UCUGUUCUUCGCAUUUCCCGAUUUCCUCCAUUCGGCCCGAUCACCUUCCUCCCCGAUUCAUCUCCACCGACGGCGAUCUUCCCCUUCGAGCGCCUCAUCAACGCCAAGCAAUCUUGGCUACUUGGCGGUCCGAUCUUCUCCUCUUCGUCCUGCACUCUCUCUCGUUCUCACCUCACCCGAUGCUGCAUACAUAUGCCUCUCGUCGUGCCCUAGAUCGUCGGAAAUAACAUGCGAGCCAGCGAUAGGGCACGAUAGCUGUGGCUGCCCGAUCUUCGUCGCAGAGCUAAGGCAGUUGUCAUCGGGGAGGUUCAGCGCUUUUUUUUCUCUUCUCGAGAUUCCGAUUCUUUUUCUUUGCCGGCAUAGAUCAGUUGCCGAUCCAUGGUGUGCAAUGGACUGCCGACAUAGAAAUAGAGUAAGGGUUCCGAUGAUCCAGUAGCGGCAGUGAACCUCUCUGGUCGUGUUUCCCCAGCUGCCACCUUGGAUUUGGCUUCGAUGGUACUGUUCGCCAGGGAUCCAGAGCUCCGACCAUCUUCUUCGAUUGUGCACCGUAUCUAGCUGUGAGCCACAAGGGACCACUGCAUAUCUUGGACUUGGAGUCGGGACGGGCGUCUUGACGCGGGAUUACUUAGCACAAUCUACGUUUUAAGGCGGGUAGCUUGUAAAUGGUUGGUGUCGCUCGGAGUAUCCUGUCUGCCGGGU